UCACAAGCCACUGAACUGUGUGGGACAAAUUUCUCCUUGGUGUACCUCUAAUGAAGCCAGUGGAAUAACAAUUUGUCAAUUUGUCCCGUUGUUUCUUUCUGCAGCUCUUCCUACUUCUAUUGUAAUGAGAUACAAUCACUACAGCAGCUAUUAUUGUUUGAUCAGCAACACAAUCUUUGUUGAGAUUUCAUUUCUCUUGCAGCCCAAAUGCUAGAUUAUAUUUCUCAUUUAUGCCUUUUAGCGGACUUAAUUUGACAUUAAAUUACACACCAACCUGGUGAUGCUCCACUACUUGUUAAUAUAAAUUAAUGGCAUUUGAAAUCCCAAACCUUAAAUGGAGGAUAGAGAAAACUUUGUCCACAUUCAAGUAAUAAAUUUCCCAUUGGUAUAUGGGAAGUUUACUGCUGUUGUAAAAAUAAAAUGCAUGUAGCUAUCAGUUUGAUAUGUCUUCAUUUUCUGUUAAGUUUAUUCCUGGUCUUUUUAUGUACUUUAUAUAGAUAUGGGCAAAAUUUCUACCAUGGUUGGCUUUGUUUGUUUUGGUACUUUAUAUUUGUGUUGCAUUUUAUAAGACUAAAACCUAGUAUCCCUUGUUUUUAGGAUUCACGUGCUGCAUGUUAAACUUCUCAAGUUAUUCCUAUUCACAAAUGACUCUCAGAACUGAAUAUAAUCCCCUUGAAAUAAUUCUUGCUCCGUUUCUAAGAUGGAGGGGAGUACCACCUAGAGAGCAUGCAAGUGAACACAUGCACAUGGGUGUGAACUCCAAAAUAUUCACAGUUCACUUUGGAUAAGUAUCCAGAACCUAUUUCCAAACCUAUGGUAGACUCCAGAAAGUCUUUCAGCCCUUUGAUUCCACACAACCCCUCUGCAUCUUGCUGUCCUCUUUGGAGGAGGAGACCUGGUAGCCCUCCUGUGCUUUCUCUGAGUAGCUCAUUUCACCUUCGAUAAGGAGUCAGCAGGGGCCAUGGGGUUUUCUACCCAUAACCAAUGGGCAAUGCUGUAGGAUAGGAAGAUGUCUUCAUCUUCUAGAGACUUGGGAGCCACGCACAUACACACCAAAAAAGUAAAUAGAAUAGUAUCAGUAGGUUUGCCAUGUGAUUAUGGUAGGAUAUGUUCUGCCUAUUUGUCUUCUAGGAGUUUUGGUAAUUUAUCUCCACUGUUUGUUACUGUGGGCAGGGGGCCACUGCUCCUAGUUCCUGCCCGGGGCACACAGUUGUAUCAUCUCGGCUCAGGCAGCAGGAGACUUUUGAGCCACAGUCAGCCAGGUCCUACUCUUCCAGGAGAGGGGAAGAGAAAACCCUCUCCCGUUAGCCCCCUUCUCUGGGCCAAAAGGGGAGAUAAAUAACACAAGCAAAUUCCUGAAACUAGGUUACAGAGCCUAGGUUUAAAGGCUUGAUGUUCAAACAGACGUGAGUGUCCCUGGUUCCAUGUGCAGACAGGGAAUUAAGUACCCUGAGCUCUGAGAAAAAGAGACCUUAAAUGUAAACUCAGUUUUCCCAGUGAGUCCAACUUAAUGUGGUGAUGGAUUGUUCUUAAUCCUGGGGAGCAUCCACUGAUUUUGGGGGAAUCCUCUUCAGGGGCCUAAACAAGCCCUAAUGGAGAGUGUAACAAAUCGUUCAUAACCGAGUCUCAGCGGAGGCGAGCUGGACAAGGUGACAUGUUUGUUGGCCCGCUUUACGUUGGGGCGAGAGACAAGCUUUGGAGCCACCCCGAGCUCUUCUGCAGGCCCGGGGGGGGGGGUUCCGUGCAAUGGGCCGGCACCGGGAGUCGGCCCGCACUCCGGCGUGCCCCUGCCCACGGCCGGCUGCCGCUGCCGCCUGGACGGGGUUUCAUGCCCCGCUCUCCCCGAAGGAGGCGCGAGCUGGGCAGUCCGUGGGGCAGAGGCGGCGGCCAGGCCCGCGGCCCGGCUCGGCUCGCUCCAGCCUCCGCUCUGCGUUGGAUUGCUCCGGUCUGCCCGGCGCCGCUCGCUCUGCGCCGGCGGCCGGGCGCCCAGGCGCGCUCAGCCGAGCGCCGAGGCGCGCUUUCAGGAACAAUAACAGUGCAGGCGGCGAGGGGCCCGGCGCCGCCGCCGCCGCCGCCGCCCCCCCCGCUUCGCGCGCCCGCCAUGUACGCCUUUGUGCGGUUCCUGGAGGACAACGUCUGCUAUGCGCUGCCCGUCUCGUGCGUGCGGGACUUCAGCCCCACGUCCCGCCUCGACUUCGACAACCAGAAGGUGUACACGGUGUACCGCAACCCGCGCGAGGCGGAGGCGGAGGCGGAGGACGAGGACGAGAGCCCCGGCGACUGGGGCGACCGCCUGCUGCUGCACAAGGCCCAGAUCCUGGCGCUGGCAGAAGACAAAACUGACCUUGAAAACAGUGUGAUGCAGAAGAAAAUUAAAAUCCCCAAACUCUCUCUCAAUCACGUAGAAGAAACUGGGGAGGUUACAGAUUAUGGGGAAGAAGAUGUGGAGCUUAGACACAGUAAGAGACAAGAUGGGAGGAAACAAAGUGAAGGUACACACAAAAGCAUCGAAGCAGUUGUUGCUCGCCUAGAAAAGCAAAAUGGGAUGAGUCUUAGUAGUAGUUCGAGCCCUGAGGAAAUCUUUAUGGAGACUUCGGAAGGCAUUAACAACAUGGACGAUGCUGUAAUUCCUCGUGUUCUUUAUGAAGAAUUGCUGAGGAGUUAUCAACAGCAGCAAGAAGAAAUGAGACACAUUCAGCAAGAACUUGAGAGAACACGGAGGCAGCUUGUGCAGCAGGCAAAAAAGCUAAAGGAGUAUGGGGCAUUAGUGUCAGAAAUGAAAGAGCUCAGAGACUUGAACAGGAGACUUCAGGAUGUGCUGCUUCUGAGAUUAGGCAGUGGUCCUGCCAUUGAACUUGAAAAAGGAAAACCAGAAUCCAUUGAGCCUGAGCCUGAGAUACAGAAAACAUUCAGUGAGGAAGCGAAUACAUCAACAUACUAUCCUGCCCCUGUUCCAGUAAUGGACAAGUAUAUUCUCGAGAACGGAAAGGUCCAUCUGGGCAGUGGAAUCUGGGUAGAUGAGGAGAAAUGGCACCAGCUGCAAGUAACGCAAGGAGAUUCAAAGUAUACAAAAAACCUAGCUGUAAUGAUUUGGGGAACAGAUGUUCUCAAGAACAGAAGCGUCACAGGAGUUGCAACCAAAAAAAAGAAAGAUGCAGUUCCCAAGCCACCUCUCUCACCUCACAAAUUAAGCAUUGUCAGAGGUGUGACGGUAGAAGUGACUUGAAGGAGGAAAGGGUAGUGGCCUGACAGAUCAUUUUCAGUAAGGGUGUUCCAUGUCGUCUGGAAGAAAGCUCUAAGACUGUUCUGGGAGAUGUGGACAAAUGAAGGGGUUAAGAAUGUUUGUAUGACAGAAUAGCACAAGAAACUGUGGAUGAAACUGAAAUUGCACAGAGACUCUCCAAAGUCAACAAGUACAUCUGUGAAAAAAUCAUGGAUAUCAAUAAAUCAUGUAAAAAUGAAGAAAGGAGGGAAGCAAAGUACAAUUUGCAAUAAAUUUUGGAUUUUUAAUAAA